rnacentral:rRNA from 1 species
UACAGAGGUCUCAAGCGUUGUUCGGAUUCAUUGGGCGUAAAGGGUGCGUCGGUGGCGGGGUAAGUCAGGUGUGAAAUCUCGGAGCUCAACUCCGAAACUGCACUUGAUACUGCCUUGCUCGAGUACUGGAGAGGAGAUUGGAAUUUACGGUGUAGCAGUGAAAUGCGUAGAUAUCGUAAGGAAGACCAGUGGCGAAGGCGAAUCUCUGGACAGUUACUGACACUGAGGCACGAAGGCCAGGGGAGCAAACGGG